rnacentral:rRNA from 1 species
GACGAACGCUGGCGGCAUGCCUAACACAUGCAAGUCGAACGGCAGCACAGCAGUAGCAAUACUGUGGGUGGCGAGUGGCGGACGGGUGAGGAAUACGUCGGAAUCUGCCCAGUCGUGGGGGAUAACUAGCCGAAAGGUUAGCUAAUACCGCAUACGACCGAGAGGUGAAAGCGGGGGACCGCAAGGCCUCGCGCGAUUGGAUGAGCCGACGUCGGAUUAGCUAGUUGGCGGGGUAAAGGCCUACCAAGGCGACGAUCCGUAGCUGGUCUGAGAGGAUGAUCAGCCACACUGGAACUGAGACACGGUCCAGACUCCUACGGGAGGCAGCAGUGGGGAAUAUUGGACAAUGGGCGCAAGCCUGAUCCAGCAAUGCCGCGUGUGUGAAGAAGGCCUGCGGGUUGUAAAGCACUUUUGUUCGGGAAGAAAUCAUGUCGGUUAAUACCCGAUGUGGAUGACGGUACCGAAAGAAUAAGCACCGGCUAACUUCGUGCCAG